rnacentral:rRNA from 1 species
GGGGAAUAUUGCGCAAUGGGCGAAAGCCUGACGCAGCGACGCCGCGUGGGGGAAGAAGGCCUUCGGGUUGUAAACCCCUUUCAGCAGGAACGAAGCGAAAGUGACGGUACCUGCAGAAGAAGCACCGGCUAACUACGUGCCAGCAGCCGCGGUAAUACGUAGGGUGCAAG